rnacentral:lncRNA from 1 species
GCUUCAAACUCCUGACCUCAGGUAAUCCACCCGCGUCAGCCUCCCAAAGUGCUGGGAUUACAGGCGUGAGCCUCUGUUAAUCUUUGAGGAUUAAUCCAGCAAUCUCAGAAUCAGUUGCUAGACAAAGGACAGUUUCAGAAUCAAGCUUUGGUACCACUGCGAAGAAUAUGGACUACUGAGUGCCCUGCAUUAUUUUGCCUUAAACAAGUGCAGAAGGGUUUCUAUAACAUUUAUCAUAGUUCUAGCCAAGCCACAUAUUUUGAAUACCAGCAAUUUUAUCAAUGUAAACCCAAUUAUAAAAACAUGCUAAUGUCUAAACUUCUGGGGUCAAUUGUAGAUAAAGACAGCUAGAUGCUUGUAGUAACUUUCCUUGCAGUGUGGCUCUUUGAUUAAACUCUGUGAACGAUUUCCUAUAACGUGUAUCCCAAUUAGGGCAACCAGCAGCACCUAUUUUUAUUAUACUGUCUUUGAUAAUAUAUUAUAAAUUAAAUUACACACCACAGGACAGACUCUUCACAAGAAAUGGAUGCUUCAAACCAGAUUUGGCCCAAUUCUGAGGUGGGAAGGAUCGGUUUUACAUUUGAGAGAGAUCAAUGUGAAGGAGGCAGGAAGAAACAGCCCCUUCCAGUGAGGUGUGGAAUUUUCCACUACCACCUUCUAAGCAAGACCUGAGGGUCCCCUCACCCAAAACCCUUCUAUUCUUGGCACACUCGUUUUUUAGAUUAAUUUCUAUUUGGGCCCCUUUCCCAUCAUGUCUUCAGUACAACAUUCUCUCAUGUGACUUCAUGACAAACAGAAACAGAAAAUAAGUAGAAGCAACCCUAGAGAUUGCCAAAGCCAGUGGGUUUUCCAUCUUAGCUUUGAAGUCCUUUGUUCAGACCUAAUAUCACCCUGGGAUGCAGACACAUAAUCCAUAUAGGAAACAGAAAUGCUCUGGAUGAAGCAGUGGGUGGAUGCAGGGAAAGCAAAAACAUAGCUCUUUUCCACGCUCCCAGUCCGUUCAUCUGUUUGUGCUUGAGUGACUUCCAGUGGACACCAAUAACCUGAUCAUUCUUCUGUCACCCAUUUUGCAGAUUAGGAAACUAAGUCCUUGAGGGGAUAAGUAAAUUGCCUGAGUACACAUAGCGAGAUGUGGCAGAACAGAAACUCUCUUUCUGUUGUGGGUCAGACUACAGGCUUUAAGGGAAUGAGGUGAAGGCACUCGCUCUUGUCCUGAGACUGAUGGCUCAGUGGGAUAACGACUCAGACUCCAAGCUGGUUGUCCAUGCCCCUAAGCCUCCCCAUCCAAUUAGCUCAUCCUUCAGUUCCGGAUAAUGGCUCAACUUUUUCCUUUCCGGGUUCUAGAUGAAAACCUCUCUCUGCAGUCCUGGUAUCACAAUUUCACAUGGCUGGGAAGUCUCACAAUCACGGUGGAAGGUGAAGGAGUAGCAAACGCACUUCUUACAUGACGGCUGGCAAGAAUGCUUGUGCA